rnacentral:rRNA from 1 species
AUCAUGGCUCAGGAUGAACGCUAGCUACAGGCUUAACACAUGCAAGUCGAGGGGCAGCAUGGUCUUAGCUUGCUAAGGCCGAUGGCGACCGGCGCACGGGUGAGUAACACGUAUCCAGCCUGCCGUCUACUCUUGGACAGCCUUCUGAAAGGAAGAUUAAUACAAGAUGGCAUCAUGAGUCCGCAUGUUCACAUGNUUAAAGGUAUUCCGGUAGACGACGGGGA